AUUGAACGCUGGCGGCAGGCUUAACACAUGCAAGUCGAGCGGGGUGAUGGUGCUUGCACUAUCACUUAGCGGCGGACGGGUGAGUAAUGCUUAGGAAUCUGCCUAUUAGUGGGGGACAACAUCUCGAAAGGGAUGCUAAUACCGCAUGCGUCCUACGGGAGAAAGCAGGGGAUCACUUGUGACCUUGCGCUAAUAGAUGAGCCUAAGUCGGAUUAGCUAGUUGGUGGGGUAAAGGCCUACCAAGGCGACGAUCUGUAGCGGGUCUGAGAGGAUGAUCCGCCACACUGGGACUGAGACACGGCCCAGACUCCUACGGGAGGCAGCAGUGGGGAAUAUUGGACAAUGGGGGGAACCCUGAUCCAGCCAUGCCGCGUGUGUGAAGAAGGCCUUAUGGUUGUAUAGCACUUUAAGCGAGGAGGAGGCUCUUUUGGUUAAUACCCAAGAUGAGUGGACGUUACUCGCAGAAUAAGCACCGGCUAACUCUGUGCCAGCAGCCGCCGCGG
rnacentral:rRNA from 1 species